ACUUUUGCCUGCGUUAUUGGUUCACUACUCUUCUCCCGAAGAUUAGGUGAUGAAAAGGGAAUCCGGUGUAAAUCCGGAACAGACCCGCUGCUGUGAGUUCCUUUUUUGCUUCUAAGAAACUCUAUGCCACUGUCCGAAUGCCGGAUGGGAAGGCUUCUUGGAACGGAACAAGUCAGAAGACCUGCCAGUGACAGCUUUGUUUU
rnacentral:ncRNA from 2 species